rnacentral:rRNA from 1 species
UACGUAGGGGGCAAGCGUUGUCCGGAAUCAUUGGGCGUAAAGCACGUGUAGGCGGCCUUGUAAGUCCGUUCUGAAAGUCCGGGGCUCAACCCCGGGAGGCGGAUGGAUACUGCAAGGCUCGAGUCCGGAAGAGGCAAGUGGAAUUCCCGGCGUAGCGGUGAAAUGCGUAGAGAUCGGGAGGAACACCAGUGGCGAAGGCGGCUCGCUGGGCCGGACCUGACGCUGAGACGCGAAGGCGUGGGGAGCGAACGGG